rnacentral:rRNA from 1 species
UACGUAGGGUGCGAGCGUUAAUCGGAAUUACUGGGCGUAAAGCGUGCGCAGGCGGUGCUGUAAGACAGGCGUGAAAUCCCCGGGCUCAACCUGGGAAUUGCGCUUGUGACUGCAGCGCUGGAGUGCGGCAGAGGGGGAUGGAAUUCCGCGUGUAGCAGUGUAAUGCGUAGAUAUGCGGAGGAACACCGAUGGCGAAGGCAAUCCCCUGGGCCUGCACUGACGCUCAUGCACGAAAGCGUGGGGAGCAAAC